UAGGGUGAACCUGCGGAGGGAUCAUUA
rnacentral:rRNA from 2 species